UGGGGGAUAUUGCACAAUGGGCGAAAGCCUGAUGCAGCGACGCCGCGUGGGGGAUGAAGGCCUUCGGGUUGUAAACUUCUUUUGCUCUGAACAAGGCAUGCCUUUGGGGUGUGUUGAGUGUAGGGGUUGAUUAGCGCCGGCUAACUACGUGCCAGCAGCCGCGGUAAUACGUAGGGCGCCAGCGUUGUCCGGAAUUAUUGGGCGUAAAGGGCUUGUAGGUGGCUGGUUGCGUCUGUCGUGAAAGCCCAUGGCUUAACUGUGGGUUUGCGGUGGGUACGGGGAGGCUUGAGUGCAGUAGGGGAGGGUGGAAUUGCGGGUGUAGCGGUGGAAUUCGUAGAUAUCAGGAGGAAUACCGGUGGCGAAGGCGGCUCGCUGGGCUGUUACUGACGCUGAGGAGCGAAAGCGUGGGGAGCGAACAGG
rnacentral:rRNA from 1 species